rnacentral:rRNA from 1 species
AGUGAACGCUGGCGGCGUGCCUAACACAUGCAAGUCGAGCGAAGUGGCAGUUCGCCGCAAGGCGAAUAUGUGCUUAGCGGCAGACGGGUGAGUAACACGUAGACAAUCUACCUCUUAAAGGGGGAUAGCCCAUCGAAAGGUGGGGUAAUACCCCGUAAGAUCAGGGCUUGGCAUCGAGCUUUGAUGAAAACAUCCGCAAGGAUGGAUGAGAGAAGAGUCUGCGGCCUAUCAGCUAGUUGGCGGGGUAACGGCCCACCAAGGCUACGACGGGUAUCCGACCUGAAAGGGCGAUCGGACACACUGACACUGAGACACGGGUCAGACUCCUACGGGAGGCUG